GAUGAAGAACGCAGCGAAAUGCGAUAAGUAAUGUGAAUUGCAGAAUUCAGUGAAUCAUCGAAUCUUUGAACGCACAUUGCGCCCGCCAGUAUUCUGGCGGGCAUGCCUGUUCGAGCGUCAUUACAACCCUCAGGCCCCUGGGCCUGGCGUUGGGGAUCGGCGGAGCCCCCCGUGGGCACACGCCGUCCCCCAAAUACAGUGGCGGUCCCGCCGCAGCUUCCAUCGCGUAGUAGCUAACACCUCGCGACUGGAGAGCGGCGCGGCCACGCCGUAAAACACCCAACUCUUCUGAAGUUGACCUCGAAUCAGGUAGGAAUACCCGCUGAACUUAAGCAUAUCAAUAAGCGGAGGA
rnacentral:misc_RNA from 1 species